AAGCCCUGAGAACACACUCCCCAGCUCGGAAGAGCCUUACUCAUUAAAGUCGGUACCAAAAACGACAGAAGAAUGUUUCCGAUUAUAAGCGUUUUUGUUUGGGCUCAGAUGUACGUGGAAGGCACAGCCCCCUUGUUCCCGCUCUCAAAAGCAGCCCAGUUAUUCAGGAGAGAGUCCCCGGCUGGCCUGCAUAGGGUCCAUCCCUUGCAGGACAACAGCUCCAGGUUUCCCGAUGAGUCCAGCGGAAGUCCUUUCCAACUUACGAGUCAAGAUGCACUGGCAGGUUUCUUCAACUGGGUCGUGGCUGGGAGUCAACUCAAUUAGAAAGGUUUCUUUAACGAAGCAGUCUGGAAAGAAUCCCUCCAACACGGCUAUUCUGAGCAUGCCUUGGCAGAUCCUCUCCGGUGCUCCCAGGUCUCAGCUGCAGUUCGGCGCACGCCGUCUGCAGGCUGACGGCGCGGGUCCUUGUGGUGGCAGCGGCGGCUCUGUCCUGGGCGUCCGUCGUUGCUCGGGUCUCGGGCUCAGAGGGGCCCGGCGGCACCCCUCUGGCGGGCGGCCCGCACCAAACACUGCUGGAGAACGGGGUAGAGGCGCUGGCAGCCCUCGAACCCCAGGCGCACGGCCUCCGCCCAGCUCUCGGUCAGGCCGCCCUCCUCGCUGCCCAGCAGCCCGGCCACCUGCUUGAGCACCGCCAUGAGCGCCACGGUGAGGCCGGCGGCUGCGCGCUCCUCCUCCAGCAGCGUGGGGUCCAGCAGCCAGGCGGGCUCGGGCGCCGGCGCGCGGCUCAGGCCGCAGCCCAAGACCAGGUCGUACAUGUCGACGCCCGCGGCGGCCAGGGCGAGCGCGGUGGCCGUGAGCGCGGCGGCCAGCGCCGAGCCGCCGUCCCCCAGCAGCAGCGCCGACACCUGGAGUUGCACGCGCGGGUAGCGGCCCAGGCGCACGGCCGGCUCGAGCGCCUCCUGCAGCGCCAGAGCCAGCUCGCGCUCCUCGCCGCCGCCCGGCGCAACAAGGCGCCGGCGGCCCGAGAAGGGCGCGCGGCGGAAGUCGCAGAGCAGGCGGCCGCUCAGCGCCGCGGGGGCCUCGCAGCCCGCCCUGGCCGGGCAGCCGCCGCGCUCGCCGCCCUCGGCCUGGCGCGGGCCCAACUCGGCGCACAGCACCUGGGGGCCCCCUGCCUCCAAGUAGGCCGAACCCUUAGCCUAGCUCAGCAGCCAUGCGCGCGCGUACACCGGCCGCAGCCGCGCCGGGUCGCGAGGGGCCGGCGCCUCGCCCUCGCCGGCCGCGUACAGCUGCGGCGGCUGCGACUCCUCGGCCCAGGGAUGCGGCGGUGGUCCGCGGGCAUGGUGGCGCUGCUGUCGGCCGGCUCCGCGCGUCAGCCCCACCGUGCGCUGGCGCUUCCGCCCGCCAGGCCGGCCGCGCGAGGAUG
ensembl:lncRNA